rnacentral:misc_RNA from 1 species
GGUCGAUUUGUUAUGUUCAUUACUUCACCAAAAUUUGUGAGAGGUCGAGUUUAUUUGCGACAAGUAUUUACGAACAAAAUAUAAUUUUUCGUGUUUAAAAUAAGUUAGUAUGCAUUAAAACAUAAGCGAUAAGAAUAUUAAUAUUAUGGUUCCUGUAAACUUGGCCCGUAUGCAGUUGUUCAGAUGCAGUUCUUCCUGAUAAGACCACAGCACAUAAGCACACCAACCUCAGUUAAGUGUAAAUAACUUAGAUCUUACUUAACUAGUAAAUAAUCUUUAAACAUGGAUAAAGAACCAAUAAUUAUGACACAUGCUUUACCCAAUAAAGAAGUUAUUAACAAUCAAUUGAAUAUUGAGGUAAAUCUGAAAAAAGACGCGGAAUUUAUAUCAGAGGAAUAUGAGAGUGAUUCCAAUACUAACUCCAAUGCUGAUAAUGAAGAGUAUUACGAUUCAGUCUCUGAAAACAGUUUUGAAUGUGAACCUGACGUGAACCGUUCAUUUCCAAUUUUACAUAACUUGGAGACAAAAAAGAAAAUGUGUAUAAAUAGCUCCAACUAUAUUUAUGGAAAAUAUGUUCUGAGACAAUGUCCUAUGUGUGAUUCCGAGUUUAAUUCUGCACAUUGUUGGAAGAAACAUAUUAAUUACAUACAUCAUUUAGCUACUCCGGAAGAUUUGCAAUUCAAAUACAACGAAGUAGGUGCAAAAUGUAAAAUUUGUGAUUUUCAAACGGCUACUCCAGAUUUUAACAAACUAUUAGAUCAUCAAAUCUCACAUAUGCCAUUUAGUCUGUUUUUAAAAUGUAAAUUAUGUGAUUGGAGAACUAAAACACAUCCAAGCAUGAAUUUUCAUUUGCGUCAAGUGCAUUCCGAUAAAUUGGAUAUGACAAAAAAAAGUAUUGAGUUAACUGUAUGUCCAUAUUGUCAGCAAGAAUUCUCAUCACAAUGGUAUUUGCGAAAACAUAUGUUUCAGGAACAUGAAAAGACUAUUGACGAUAGAACAUGUUUCAUUUGCUUAGAUUGUGGCGAAGAAUUUCCCACAAAUGUUAGUUUACGUGCGCAUGUAUUUGAAAAAUUUGCAGACAAGUCGGUGGAAGAACUGAGCUUCAAAGAGGUGAUUUCAGUUGGCGAAGAUAAUGAUAUUUCAUACAAGUGUACUCAAUGCCCGACCAUUUAUCGCAAAAGUACAUCCAGUCGGACAUUAACAAACUUACGCGAACAUUAUAUGUUGCAUUUAGGCGAACUUACUGGAAAACACGCAUACAAAUGUAAAUAUUGCGAUGAAAGUUUUCGUCGAUUUGACUAUAUGCGCUUACACAUUUGUGAGGAACUACGUAAAGCCUUGCAGAGUUGCGCCAAUUCACAUACUAUAUUAAGUGCGAAAGGCCGUAGAAAUAAGUUAUCAAAGAAAAAUGUGCAACAAGAACCAGUCGAACUGAAGAGAGACUACAUGAAACAUAUUCGUCAUGUUUGUUUAAAAUGUGGAAAUUCAUAUGGCAAGUUGUUCCAUUGCAAACGGCAUAUGUAUAUAAAACAUGGCAUGAGCAAACCAUCGGGAUUGGAUUUUAAAAAGAUAGCAAAUCAAAGUGCUUCAGAAGUUUAUGAAUGUACGAUUUGCGAAGAGUUCACCUGCGACUUGGAUUUAAAUACAAUGCUAGUGCACGCGCGUAUACAUACCGUUUAUGAUCCUUUACUGUGUAAAAUUUGCAAUACAUCUUUUGCUUAUGAAACCGACAUACCAGGACAUGAUUGUGUGGAUGUGGAGGUUGUUGAAACAGUAAAAGAAUCAAGAUAUCCCAGAGAAAUUCCCAUACCCAAUAUGGAUACUUUUUGCCCUAAAUGCGAUCUAACAUAUACAACGCCUUCUUCCUUAACAAGACACAUGAAUAGAAUGCAUGGCAUGCAUGAACCCUACGGGCUUGGCUUUGUAGUGUGCGAAACAAACGGUAGCACUGAAGUAGUAUUUCGUUGCACUCAAUGUGAAAAUUUUACGAUUAAUGUGAAAAAUUUGAAAGCUAUGUUAGAACAUGCGCGACUACAUUUGCCAUAUGAAAGUUUCAGAUGUGUCUUCUGUAAAGAGCGAUUUCAUUUUAAAGAGCAGGCGAGACAACAUCAAUGUUCAAAAAAUACAACAGAGGCGGUUAAUAUAGUGGAUAAAUACGAUCAAAAGAUUUUGAAGACGCGCUUAAAUAAAAUGGGGCGAUUAUGUCCUAAAUGUGGUAAAAAAUUUGCAAAACCAACAGUUUGUAAAGUGCAUACAACAAAUAUACAUGGUUUAGAUAAGCCUGCUGGACUUGGCUUUGAAAAGCUUAGUGCUGAUAACGUUGAUAGUAAUCGCGAAAAAUACCGUUGUAACGAAUGCUUGAGCUUCGUUGUAGAAAAACUGGAUUUAAGUUUAAUGUCAGAACAUGCUAGAGAACAUUUUCCGUACGAUAGUUUUUGGUGCAUGCUAUGUGACGAACAAUUUAAAUUCAAAUUGCUAGCUAUUAAACAUAAAUGUCCGAAUGAUACAAGAACAGUGGAAGAAAAUAAUGAUGGUGAUUUUGAAAGCACAGCGCACACCAAAUAUCCUAAAACAUUUGAGAAGAUUAUAAAGAAAUUUUGUCCCGAAUGCAACUUUGAAGUGCCAACAAUGAAAGCUUGGCGUUGGCAUAUAAGUAAAUACCAUGAAAUGACAACACUUACCGGUUUACAGAUGAAACAAGCGAAGGGCAAUUUGGUAGAGUGUUUAAUUUGUCAGGUAAAGACGACAUAUGUAAGGCGUUUGGAUCAUCGAUUUGUACAUCUGCCAUUUAAGCCCUAUCAAUGCAGAUAUUGUUUAGAAUAUUUCAUCGAAGUGGAAAAGGCGAAAGCGCAUUGUGGUGACUGUGCUGUUGCACCAACAGAAUUCGACGAAACGGAGGAAACAAAAAAGGCACAAGCUAAUAAGCGUACAGCGUCCAAAGGCAUGGAAGCAAAAAUUGAUAAUAAGAGAGCCAAAAUACAAAAUAAACGCGAAACUGUCUCACAUGUAAAAGCGAACGGAGCAAACUCGUCCAGUGAACGGUUAGACUCCGAAAGUGAAAAUGAUAAUGCAGACGCCAACAGAUGUGUUAGUGUUGUACUUACAGAUGAUAAUGACUUCGCAAAAUUCAUACGUAUAAGCUGUCCAUUAUGCCCGGAUACGGAAUUCGAAUCGAAUCUAAUGCUGACGCGUCACUUCAACGAAGCUCAUAAUAAUUUUCGAGAACACUUCACAAUUCAUCAAACAAAUGCGGCGAAUUGUAAAACGUGCAAAAAAUAUUUUAAUGUCGUAUACAAGAAAACUAUGAUUAAGCACUAUUUAAGUGAAAUUAACGCUACAUGUUUCUGUUGUCGUCUAUGUGAUAAAAAUAUACUAUAUUUUGAAACAAUGCGCUCACAUCUGCUGGACGAUCAUCAGGCUGUGAUUGCCGGUCAGCAGACACAUGAGAAUAGCAACACAACCGCAGAAGCUGGUGAGGAGGUCGAUCCUUUGAAAGUAACCGCUGUAGAUAUAUCGAAGGUGUCGCGUACAACCAUGGCAAUACCGAGCGUUAAAACUGCGGUAUUUAAUGAAUUUAAUGAAUACAUUUCAUAUGCAUGUCCCGAAUGCAAUGAGCAUUUCGACACAUCCGAACAAUGGCAUUUACACAUAAACGGUGCACAUAGUUUCUUCGAACAACAUCAGCUGAAUAUUGAAGCCACAUCAGAUGGUUUUAAACGUUGCAAACAGUGUAGUGUUAAUAUAAGUGGCGGCAUCCUGGCCGAACAAAGACAUAAGCUAACACAUAUGCAAUACAAAUCGUUCAUUUGUAUUCUCUGUCAACAUCGUUCGACCACGUUAGGUGUGCUCACACAGCAUUUUCGCCGUCGUCACUUCGCCAAGGGCACGUUUAAGUGUGUUCUAUGUCCAAGUGUGCUAAGUACUUCAUGCGAACAAAUCGAACAUAUGAAGAAUGAGCAUGAUCCCAGUGAAUAUCCAUCGAAAUUAUGUCGCGUCUGCUUCAGCAUGUUCAGCUCGAUCAACUCGCUGAACACACAUAUGGAUUUGCAUAAUCCCAAUCGAAAAGUGUUUCAGUGCGACUACUGCGACCGUUAUUAUAAGUACAAGAGAGAAUUGGGUUUACACGUGCGUGCUAAACAUCCCGAACAAGAAGCCAAAGCCAGUGAAGGAGUCUUUCUUUUUGCUAACUAACCAACAUUGGGGUGCACGUUACCGAGCUUAACCUGAAUUUCAUCAGGGAAAAUGGGUUGUUAAGUGGGGUGCUAAACGAGCUGUUGUUGUUAACUUCGAGCGCAACCAACAUGUCCUAUGUCCACAUAAAGCGAACCAGCUAUCAAAAAAAGCCGUUAUGUAAGCGGACAUACGUCUGUUGUACACUCCACUCUCUAAAUGAUUGUUACAAUUACUUAUAUUGUAUGACGUUAAAAGUCG